UCCUGACAGCGGCGCUGUGCCGCUGACUCUAGCCACGACAGGAGUUACCCAUG
rnacentral:ncRNA from 1 species